rnacentral:rRNA from 1 species
GACGAACGCUGGCGGCGUGCUUAACACAUGCAAGUCGAACGGAAAGGCCCGGCGUUUGUUGGUUUCUCGAUUGGCGAACGGGUGAGUAACACGUGAGUAACCUGCCCUUGACUGUGUGAUAACGUCAGGAAACUCGGGCGAUAACCGGAUAGGAGCUCCUGCUGCAUGGGGGUGGUUGGAAAGUGUCGGCGGUUGGGUAUGGACUCGCUGCUUAUCAGCUUGUUGGUGUGGUAGGUGCGUACCAAGGGUUUGACGGCUAGCCGGCAUGAGAGGGUGACCGGGCACAUUGGGACUGAGAUACGGACCAGAAUCGUACGGGAGGCAGAAGUGGGGAGUAUUGCACAAUGGGCGGAAGUCUGAUGCAGAAAUGCCGCGUGCGGGAUGCCGGCCUUCGGGUUGUAAACAGAUUUCGAAUGUGAUGAAGAGAGCGUGACGGUACUGGGUAAAGAAGCAACGGCUAACUACGUG